GGGGCUGUGGGGUAGCUUGGCAUCCUACGGGCUUUGGGAGCCUGAGACUCCGAUUCAAAUUCGGGCAGCCCCA
rnacentral:tRNA from 4 species